rnacentral:rRNA from 1 species
UGGGGAAUAUUGCACAAUGGGCGCAAGCCUGAUGCAGCCAUGCCGCGUGUGUGAAGAAGGCCUUCGGGUUGUAAAGCACUUUCAGCGAGGAGGAAGGGUAGUGUGUUAAUAGCACAUUGCAUUGACGUUACUCGCAGAAGAAGCACCGGCUAACUCCGUGCCAGCAGCCGCGGUAAUACGGAGGGUGCAAGCGUUAAUCGGAAUUACUGGGCGUAAAGCGCACGCAGGCGGUAUGUUAAGUCAGAUGUGAAAUCCCCGCGCUUAACGUGGGAACUGCAUUUGAAACUGGCAAGCUAGAGUCUUGUAGAGGGGGGUAGAAUUCCAGGUGUAGCGGUGAAAUGCGUAGAGAUCUGGAGGAAUACCGGUGGCGAAGGCGGCCCCCUGGACAAAGACUGACGCUCAGGUGCGAAAGCGUGGGGAGCAAACA